CACGGGGAAAAGGAGAAGAGGAGCGGACCACAGCUCUCUGGCCAACAGUGCGGAUAUGUGGUGCUCCCCAGACCAGUGUUUUGAGGCAGGAUGGACUACACUGUUCAUCUGAGAUUUCCCCUCCACUCUGCACUCCGUGAUGUCCAGUCCCCAUACACACUCAUCAAAUUGUGCUGAUGCCCCGCUGUAAGAACCUGGAGAUCUUUGCUGGUUCUGAGGGAGGUGACGUGGCCACCAACAGUGCCUGGGAAACGUUCCAGCAUUACAGCUGUUUGGAGAACAGCCAGAUCAUCUCCACAGACAACUGCUGUAACUUCAUCUUUAGCUUGUCAGUUCUGAUUCAACAGCACUCCCAGAAGUCAUGUAUGACUGCUUAACAUCUUUCAACAUACUGCAUGCUCAUGUAUGUGUUUCUUAAUAACUAAAAGUCUAAGGAAGGUUUCUUAUGGCUCAAUAAUAUGAACGGUGUGGAUUUGUAUAGCUCUGCUCAGACCCAUUUCAUAUUGAGGCAAACAUGCAACAGCUCCGUGCCCUUUUACCUUUCCUUGAUUCCUUGCAUCCUUUAUCUGUGCCUCCCCCUGAAACCCUAUCAGAGUGGGUGGCCCAAGGUUCCUCCCCUUAGACCUCCAAUGGGCUUUGAGAUGGAUGCGAGUAGAAGGGAAGUGAGAAGCUCAGCUGAGAUUAACUGGGACAGAGCUCAUGUCAUUGUUUUAGGUGGAGUCUUAUGUUGUUGAUUGAUACAUUUAAUCUGUUUGCACAUCACCAGUCAAAAGUUUGGACUCACCUCCUCAUUCAAGGGUUUUUCAUUAUUUUACUAUUUUCUACAUUGUGGAAUAAUAGUGAGUACAUCAAAACUAUGAAAUAACCCAAAAAGUGUUAAACAAAUCAAAAUAUAUUUUGGAUGUUAGAUUCUUCAAAUUAGCCACCCUUUGCCUUGAGGACAGCUACGCACACUCUUAGCAUUCUCUCAACCAGCGUCACCUGGAAUGCUUUUCCAACGGUCUUGAAGGAGUUCCCACAUAUGCUGAGCACUUGUUUGCUGCUUUUCCUUCACUCUGCGGUCCAACUCAUCUCAAUCGGGUUGAGGUUGGGUGAUUGUGGAGGUUAAAGAAAAACCCUUAAAUGAGAAGUUGUGUCCAAACUUUUAACUGGUACUGUAUAUCUUUGUUCUACUUGUGCGCUUUCCACAGAUGGCUCUGGCUUGCUCAUAACAUCUGAUCUGAUGAGACUCCCUAUACGACUUUAUUACUGCCUGUACUCAAAAAAAUGUCCAAUGCCAAAUUGAAAUAAAUUGGCACUGUAAUUUCAUAAACAAUGGUAUUUCCCAAUCAGACAAUUACUGUCACGCCCUGAUUUGUUUCACCUGUUCCUGUUAUUGUCUCCACCCCCUCCAGGUGUAGCUUAUUUUCCACAGUGUAUUUAUCCCUGUGUUUCCUGUCUCUCUGUGCCAGUUAGUCUUGUAUGUUUAGUCAAGUCAACCAGCGUGUUUUUCCUUGUACUCCUUUUGCUAUUCUCUUUUUGCUAGUCUUCCCGGUUUUGACCCCUGCCUGACUCUGGACUACAUUCCUGCCUGCCUGAUCAUCCUGCCUGCCCUGACCUUGAAUCUGCCUGCCCUUCGGUACCUAAUGGACUCUGAACUGGUUUUGACCUUUUUGCCUGCACACAACCAUUCUCUUGUUUACCCCUUUUUGGAUGAAUAAACAUUGUAAGCCUCCAACCGUCCCCCUCCUGUGUCUGCAUCUGGGUCUCGUCUUGUGCCUUGAUAAAUUACGAUAGAAACAAAUCUGUUUUUCUCAGUUAAAUGUUUGUUGAAUGCAUGCCAUUGCUUUGUCCUUAGUCCUUCUUUGAAUGUGUGCAUACCAUGAUGACACGUUAACCUGAAUUUAGCUGGUUAAUCAUAUUAAUGUCAGUUUACAUUAGGUUCUCCCCUUCAGUUUCUCCAUAUAAUUCAAAUGACCCAUAAUGCUGUGUGUGUAUGCCCUUGAACUUAAUAAAUAUCCUAAACAUUG